UACGUAGGGUGCGAGCGUUGUCCGGAAUUAUUGGGCGUAAAGAGCUCGUAGGCGGUGUGUCGCGUCGGUCGUGAAAACUUGGGGCUUAACCCUGAGCUUGCGGUCGAUACGGGCAUCACUUGAGUUCGGCAGGGGAGACUGGAAUUCCUGGUGUAGCGGUGGAAUGCGUAGAGAUCCGGAGGAAGACCGGUGGCGAAGGCGGCCUGCUGGGCAGUUACUGACACUGAGGCGCGACAGCGUGGGGAGCAAACAGG
rnacentral:rRNA from 1 species